rnacentral:rRNA from 1 species
UACGGGGGGAGCAAGCGUUGUUCGGAUUUACUGGGCGUAAAGGGCGCGUAGGCGGCCACCGCAAGUCAGUUGUGAAAGCUCUGGGCUUAACCCAGAAAGGUCAGCUGAUACUGCGGGGCUAGAGUGCAGAAGGGGCAACUGGAAUUCUCGGUGUAGCGGUGAAAUGCGUAGAUAUCAAGAGGAACACCUGAGGUGAAGACGGGUUGCUGGGCCGACACUGACGCUGAGUGCGCGAAAGCCAGGGGAGCAAACGGG